GGGGGCGUUUAGAUUCGACAGGGUUGUUGGGUCAUGGGCUGCAGGUCGAGGUCGCUUAGGUCCUCGUAAAAAAACAGAGCAAAAUAUAGAUGCAAAUAACAUCGUAAAAUUCCCAGCCCAGCGCGUAGCGUUGGCUGCUUAACUUUAACCUUAAGCUAGCUGGACUCUAUUAGAGCUUGACCACCCGCUCUUCUCGGGGUAAACCACGGAGGUUGCCACCAGGCGAAAUUAGCAGUUCUUAGCCUGGUAUAAGACACAAUUGCAAUCCCGGAUGGCCGUUCAGGCCUUUACCAGCGGAUCGGAAACGGUAACUGGGGAAAUUCUGAACUAAACUUGUAGAUGCUUAUGUCACGAUUUCUUUGGACGCGAGUGCGAUUCUCGCCGCCUCCACCA
rnacentral:tmRNA from 1 species